AGCAGCCGCGGUAACACCAGCGCCACGAGUAGGGACCACUACUAUUGGGCCUAAAGCGUCCGUAGCCGGUUGAAUAAAUCUCUUGUGAAAUUGUUGGGCUUAACCUAACAACGUGCAGGAGAAACUGUUCAGCUUGGAACCGGGAGAAGUCAGGAGUAUGCUGGGGGGAGCGGUAAAAUGUUAUAAUCCCCGGUAGACUACCAGUGGCGAAGGCGCCUGACUAGAACGGAUUCGACGGUGAGGGACGAAAGCCAGGGGAGCGAAGCGGAUUAGAUACCCGUGUAGUCCUGGCCGUAAACGCUGCGAGCUAGGUGUUGCAUAUUCUACAUGAAUGUGCAGUAUCGAAGCGAAGGUGAUAAGCUCGCCGCCUGGGAAGUAUGGUCGCAAGGCUGAAACUUAAAGGAAUUGGCGGGGGAGCACUACAAGGGGUGCGGCGUGCGGUUUAAUCUAAUUCAACGCAGAGAAUCUCACCAGAAGCGACGGCAGGAUGAAAGUCAGGCUAAAGGUCUUACUAGACGAGCCGAGAGGUAGUGCAUGGCCGCCGUCAGCUCGUGCUGUAAAGUGUCCUGUUAAGUCAGGCAACGAGCGAGACCUGCAUCUACAAUUGCUAACGGGUUCUUUAGAAUGACUGAGCACAUUGUAGAGACUGCCCUGGAAACAGGGAGGAAGGUGCAGGCUACGGUAGGUCUGUAUGCUCCGAAUCUUCUGGGCUACACGCGCGCAACAAUGGUAAGGACAAUGGGAUGCGACUCCGAAAGGAGGAGCUAAUCCUCGAAACCUUAUCCAAGUCUAGAUUGAGGAUUGUAACUCAUCCUCAUGACAAUGGAAUCCCUAGUAAUCAGAGUUUAUCAUACUCCGGUGAACAUGUCCCUGCUCCU
rnacentral:rRNA from 1 species